rnacentral:rRNA from 1 species
GACGAACGCUGGCGGCGUGCCUAACACAUGCAGGUCGAGCGGAGUCAGUAAGAGGAAGUUUUCGGAUGGAAUCUUAUUGAUUUAGCGGCGGACGGGUGAGUAACGCGUGAGCGACCAACCUUGCACAGGGGGAUAACGGACCGACAGGUUCACUAAUACCGCAUGAGACCACGGUGUUGCAUGACACAGGGGUCAAAGGAGCAAUACGGUGCAAGACAGGCUCGCGUCCGAUUAGGUAGUUGGAGGAGUAACGGCCCACCAAGCCUAUGAUCGGUAGCCGACCUGAGAGGGUGAUCGGCCACAUUGAAACUGAGAUACGGUCCAAACUCCUACGGGAGGCAGCAGUGGGGAAUAUUGGGCAAUGGGGGAAACCCUGACCCAGCAACGCCGCGUGAAGGAAGAAGGUUUUCGGAUUGUAAACUUCUGUCCUUGGUGAAGAGAAGAAGACGGUAGCCAAGGAGGAAGCCCCGGCUAACUACGUGCCAGCCGCCGCAGUAA